AGAGUUUGAUCAUGGCUCAGAAUCAACGCUGGCGGCGUGCCUAACACAUGCAAGUCGAACGAGAAAGGGGAGCAAUCCCUGAGUACAGUGGCGUACGGGUGAGUAACACGUGGGUAAUCUACCUUUUGGUGGGGAAUAACCCUGGGAAACCGGGGCUAAUACCGCAUAAUCUCGCGAUUAUCAAAGAUGGUGAGGAAAGGAGCAAUUCGCCGAAAGAGGAGCCCGCGGCUGAUUAGCUAGUUGGUGAGGUAAAGGCUCACCAAGGCAAUGAUCGGUAGCCGGCCUGAGAGGGCACACGGCCACACUGGCACUGAAACACGGGCCAGACUCCUACGGGAGGCAGCAGUGGGGAAUCUUGCACAAUGGGGGCAACCCUGAUGCAGCGACGCCGCGUGAGCGAUGAAGCCCUUCGGGGUGUAAAGCUCUUUCGGCAGGGACGAUAAUGACGGUACCUGAAGAAGAAGCUGCGGCUAACUACGUGCCAGCCGCCGCGGUAAUAC
rnacentral:rRNA from 1 species